rnacentral:rRNA from 1 species
AUUGAACGCUGGCGGCAGGCCUAACACAUGCAAGUCGAGCGGAUGAAGGGAGCUUGCUCCUGGAUUCAGCGGCGGACGGGUGAGUAAUGCCUAGGAAUCUGCCUGGUAGUGGGGGAUAACGUCCGGAAACGGGCGCUAAUACCGCAUACGUCCUGAGGGAGAAAGUGGGGGAUCUUCGGACCUCACGCUAUCAGAUGAGCCUAGGUCGGAUUAGCUAGUUGGUGGGGUAAAGGCCUACCAAGGCGACGAUCCGUAACUGGUCUGAGAGGAUGAUCAGUCACACUAGAACGGAGACACGGUCCAGACUCCUACGGGAGGCAGCAGUGGGGAAUAUUGGACAAUAGGCGAAAGCCUGAUCCAGCCAUGCCGCGUGUGUGAAGAAGGUCUUCGGAUUGUAAAGCACUUUAAGUUGGGAGGAAGGGCAGUAAGUUAAUACCUUGCUGUUUUGACGUUACCAACAGAAUAAGCACCGGCUAACUUCGUG